GUGCUCGCUUUGGCAGGACAUAUACUAAAAUUGGAAUGAUAUAGAGAAGAUUAGCAUGGCCCCUUGCAAGGGAUGACACUCAAAUUUGUGAAGCAUUCCAUAUUUUU
rnacentral:snRNA from 1 species